rnacentral:rRNA from 1 species
GACGAACGCUGGCGGCGUGCUUAACACAUGCAAGUCGAACGGACAGGCCCUGCUUUUGUGGGGUGCUCGAGUGGCGAACGGGUGAGUAACACGUGAGUAACCUGCCCUUGACUUUGGGAUAACUUCAGGAAACUGGGGCUAAUACCGGAUAGGAGCUCCUGCUGCAUGGUGGGGGUUGGAAAGUUUCGGCGGUUGGGGAUGGACUCGCGGCUUAUCAGCUUGUUGGUGGGGUAGUGGCUUACCAAGGCUUUGACGGGUAGCCGGCCUGAGAGGGUGACCGGCCACAUUGGGACUGAGAUACGGCCCAGACUCCUACGGGAGGCAGCAGUGGGGAAUAUUGCACAAUGGGCGGAAGCCUGAUGCAGCAACGCCGCGUGCGGGAUGACGGCCUUCGGGUUGGAAACCGCUUUCGCCUGUGACGAAGCGUGAGUGACGGUAAUGGGUAAAGAAGCACCGGCUAACUACGUG